GAUGAACGCUGGCGGCGUGCCUAAUACAUGCAAGUCGAGCGAACGGACGAGAAGCUUGCUUCUCUGUUGUGAGCGGCGGGCGGGUGAGUAACACGUGGAUAACCUACCUAUAAGAGGGGGAUAACUUCGGGAAACCGGAGCUAAUACCGGAUAAUAUUUUGAAACACAGGGUUCAAAAGUGAAAGAAGGUCUUGCUGUCACUUAUAGAUGGAUCCGCGCUGCAUUAGCUAGUUGGUAAGGUAACGGCCUACCAAGGCAACGAUGCAUAGCCGGCCUGAGAGGGUGAUCGGCCACACUGGAACUGAGACACGGUCCAGACUCCUACGGGAGGCAGCAGUAGGGAAUAUUCCGCAAUGGGCGAAAGCCUGACCGAGCAACGCCGCGUGAGUGAUGAAGGUCUUCGGAUCGUAAAACUCUGUUAUUUGGGAGGAACAUAUGUGUAUUUAUCCGUUCACAUUUUGACGGUACCUAAUCAGAAAGCCACGGCUAACUACGUG
rnacentral:rRNA from 1 species